UGCCAAAUCUUCGUUAUUCAUCGUGGCGGAGGAAGAGGAAGCACUGAGCAAACCUUUGUCCCAUUUUCCUGUUUUUAUACCACUUUCGACCACAGUAAGUGUUGUGGUAGCUACAGGGAGCGGCACAUGCCUUCAGGAGCUUCUCAGUCCACUGAAGGAGAAUGAUGACCCAAACUCUGGAAGUGGAUGUAUGCAGGAGGUAAAUACCUUGCCCAUGAAGAUGGCAGACUGACAUCACCAAAUGGACUUAUGUAGAUGGACAUCUGGCAUCCUGGUAGUGGUGGUGGCAGGGCUUCCCUUGAAAUAGUUAGGUGAUGCUGUUGGUUGGCAGCCAUGGACAAGUGGCAGCCAGUCCUCUUGGGGGACAUUACAACUCUCAUCAACUUGUUGAUCAGCUCUAUCUUCAAAGUCUCCUCAUUCUGCAAGCUGUCCCUGGAUACCACCUCCACAAUCUUUACCUUCCUUGGGUAGGGAGGCAGGGCAUGCUGGGACCCUCAGAUCUGCGUGUGUGCCAGUUGUCUCAGCCACCAGAGAAGCUCAGCUUAUACUUGUUUUACAAGGAUUUCCAUGCAGUUUCUUUUUAGCUUACACAGUGAAUGGCGUGAGUGAAAUCCAACAUGAUAAAAAAAAGAUGAUCACUGAAACCUGAA